AGACUAAACCAAUUAGCAGCAAGACUCCCACUCCCACAUGUUUCUGCCCCACCCCUGCAUCAAUGCCUACAUUUGUAGCUAUGAACAGUCUCUAAGGAGGCUGUGCCAAGUUCUAAGCCGGGACUUUCAAAGACUUGCCUGGGUGCUGCCGCCUCUGGACAUAAACUUUGAGAGUGCUGUACAGUCUGGACUGAGCUUAGCUACCUCUGCUGUAAGUCACCUUUAAUGUUGAACUUGAAGCCUUCCUGUCGUAUGUGGUGUGCAUCCAUGUGGACUAGUUGCACAUGUUCAGUAUGCUGUCCCUGAGGUCAAGAGUCAUCCGACUGACGCUUCAGCCCAGGAGUUUGGGCUGCGAUGAGCUGUGAUUGCACCACCGCCACUGCACUGCAGCCUGGAUAACAGAGCUGAGACCUCAUCUCUAAUAAAUAACCUGGGCGGAACAGACACACAGGAUGUGACCAACACAGAUCUAUGCACUCAUUCUUGGGAGCAGCUGAGCAGAAGGGCCAUGUUUCCCGGAAGCCUACUUUCAGCCCAGAGAAGACUCCAGAAGGGUCAGCCACACCCUACUCUCCUCCCGCUUGAGAAGAACUGGCUGACCCACCUCUUGCCCCCACUGUAAAUUCUGAACUGACUUCCUAAGAAUAUCUCAGAUCUCAAGAGCGAAGUAGGGCACAGGCGAAGUCGGAAGCACGACCACAUUCUCCUUUCAUAGAAAUGAGCAGGAAACGGAGGCAGGGACACAGCUUCUGGAAACAGGUCAAGCAAAGGGAAUGGCUUGGAAAAUCACCUUCCAUUUGCCUUCAGAGGCAAAUAAAACAUGAAGGGAAAUUCCCAAAGCAAGAAGUGAGAUAUCUGUGCCUGUCAAUCUCAACAAAUACCCUAGAUACUCAGCGCUCUGUAGUGAUUCCAGGGGUGAUGGGCCCUAGCUGAGGGCAGGGAAAGAGAGAAACCACCCCUCACGAUUCCUCCAUUCACAGCAUUGCAAGCUUAAGGUCUGAUUUCAUUGUUAAAGCCACACUCACAAGGACACACACUCUAUUCGAGCAUUAUUAUUCAUAUAAUACAAGUAACUUAAUAGGCAUUCCCUGAACCUUCCUGGUGCUUUAAAAACAAUGCCCACUAGUUUACAGACUUUCCAGGAAUGUAUAAAGGAAGACACGUCUGCUGAUCAGCCAACCUCAUGGCCUAUGGUGUUCAGCAUGAAGCACCCCUCUCUGGCCCUGGACAGGGCUUUCAUUUGUGUGCCUCCCAAACUUGGCCGUUCCUUUCUGGCGUUGUCUUCAAGCUCUGAUUACUGGGCAGUGAGCCUAUUAAUCUUGAAUGAAAUGAAGUCUCCGCCACUUCCAUUUGAAAAAGAAAUAGCUUUGCCUUUUCCAUUUGAUUCGACAGUAUAAAAUAUUUAUGAUUCCUCUGGCACCUCCAAUGCCCCCUCUCUCCCAUCGAUUCUCUCAGUCGGCACUAAGUGCUCACUUGGUGGCAAGUACUUGUUAUCCAUCAGGGACAGCCAGGGGAUGACAACAGCCAGGAAGCCCAGCUGCUCCAGGACCAUCGGGUCACCAGAAAAUCUUCUGCUUUUCCCCUGGGGGGCUCUUGUGAGUUUCCAAGCCCCCACAGCCACCUUGUAGAGGAUUUUGCUGCUGUAGGCUCUGAGGUCCAGCUUUUCCACCUUACUUUCUUCCAUUGGUGUGUUCCUUCUAUAAUCACACACAAGCACAACUGACACCUUUGGAUCUCCUGUGACAUCUAGGGCCAAGCCAGGGCAAUUGGGAACAGGGUUGGACUGUGGGGUCUAGAGUUGCACCCCAGAGGGCUCUGACCUCUAGGCUGUUUGAUUAACCCACAUGCAGCAGUUAGAUUUCCCAGAGGGGAAAGCACCUAGUUGGUGUUUCUGAAGUUAACGAGAGGUUUUCCUCUUGCCUCUCCAAAGUGACUCCUAGGCUGGCUGAGGUGGCUCAUGCCUGUAAUCUCAACGAAUUUGGGAGGCCAAGGCAAGAGAAUCACUUGAGACCAGGAGUUUAAGACCAGCCAGGACGACAUAGCGAGAUGCCAUUUCUACAUAAAAAAAAUUUUUUUCAUUAGCUGGACAUGGUGGCACACACAGAUAGUCCCAGCUACUUGGGAGGCUGAGGCUGGAAGAUCACUUGAGCCCAGGAGUUUGAGGCUGCAGUGAGCUAUCAUUUCAUCAGCAAACUCCAGUCUGUGCAACAGAGCAAAACCCCAUCUCUUUAAAAGAAAAAAAAUGACUUCUGUUCACUCCUUGCUGGUCCCCAUACAAUAUCCCUGACCUCCUGAUAGCAGUAAUCCCUUCAGACUCACUCCCUGUUGUAGAUGUAGAAAAUAGUGCUGGGAGUAACGGAAAACAGAAUGAUCUCAAUUUAACAAAAGAAAGAUACAGAGCUCCGUGCAUCUCCAAAACCUUCCAUUCCUCAGUUCCCAGGCUGUAUGAUGAGGAUAGGGAGGAUAGCCACCAUUCCGAGUUAUUAGGAAGGUUAUAUGUUAUAAAGCCUGAAACAGUGCCUGGCACUUAGAAAGUGCUUAGUGAAAGCUGGGCGUGGGGCUCAUGCCUGUAAUCCCAGCACUUUGGGAGGCCGAGGUCAAGAUGGGCCAAGGUG